rnacentral:rRNA from 1 species
CACGUAGGGGGGCGAGCGUUGUCCGGAUUUAUUGGGCGUAAAGAGCUCGUAGGCGGCUCGGUAAGUCAGGUGUGAAAACUCUAGGCUCAACCUAGAGACGCCACCUGAUACUGCUGUGGCUAGAGUCCGGUAGGGGAGCAUGGAAUUCCUGGUGUAGCGGUGAAAAUGCGCAGAUAUCAGGAGGAACACCAGUGGCGAAGGCGACUACCUGGACCAGCACUGACACUGAGGCACGAAAGCGUGGGGGAGCAAACAGG